UACGGAGGGGGCUAGCGUUGUUCGGAAUUACUGGGCGUAAAGCGCACGUAGGCGGCUUUGUAAGUUAGAGGUGAAAGCCCGGGGCUCGACCCCGGAACUGCCUUUAAGACUGCAUCGCUUGAAUCCAGGAGAGGUGAGUGGAAUUCCGAGUGUAGAGGUGAAAUUCGUAGAUAUUCGGAGGAACACCAGUGGCGAAGGCGGCUCACUGGUCCGGUACUGACGCUGAGGUGCGAAAGCGUGGGGAGCAAACAGG
rnacentral:rRNA from 1 species